rnacentral:lncRNA from 1 species
GCUUUUCUAAUGAAAUUUUCAUUUGACUCUGUCUUAGUUACAGUUCCCACUUUCGUGAUGAGACACCGUGACCAAAACACAAGUUGGGGAGGAAAGGGUUUAUUUCACUCACAGCUCCAUAUGACCCAUCAUCAUCAAAAGCAGUGAGGGCUAGAACACAAGCAGGGCAGGGACCUGGAAGCAGGAGCUAAUGCAGAGGCCAUGGAGGGGUGCUGCUUACUGGUUUGCUCCUUGUGCCUUGUUCAGCCUGCUUUCUUAUAGAACCCAUGACCAUCAGCCCAGGGACAACACCAAUCACAGUGAAAUGGGCCAUCCCCCAUUGUUCACUAAUUAAGAAAAUGCUCUACAGCUGGAUCUUAGGUAGGCAUUUUUCUCAAGUGAGGCCUCUUCCUCUCUGAUCACUCUAGCUUGUGUCAAGCAUACACGAAAUCAGCCGAAACAGUUGCCUUACCAAGGGGAAUUCUAAGAGAGCUAGGAGAUCUCUAUCACUCCCAGAAUGUUCUAGUUUUAUGAGGCAUUAGAGAAUAUUGUUCAAUAAGCAGCCUUUGUCUUGCAUGAGCAUUUUCUAGAGCAGCAAGGGACUCAAGGGAGUGGUGAGACUAGAGUCUAAGCUGCUGUGUGACUUGGGCAAACCAUUUCAUCCUUCUUUCGCAAGGGGAGUUUAAAUGAGGAUGGAUGCAGAGCAAAUGCAAAGGCCCCGCAUGCAACAGAAGCUUGGCACAUGCUGCAGACCCUUAGAACGCAGAUGCCUUUGCAGACAGCACCUCUUGGGAGUGUCUUGAGGGGUUUGGUCCAGUCUGGAUGUGGGGCUUUCCCCAGCGCUUCCAGUCAUUGCUCCAUGGCUCAUCUGCAGCAUCUAUCCCUCCUCCUGUGCAUAGGUGAGAGGCUGGAAGGCAGCUGCCAGCCAGGUUAGACAGGAGUGUUAAUCCCCAUUUUGCAUCUGAGAGAACUGAAGCCCAGGGAGGGAAGCAGUUACUGUAAAUUAUACCUUGCUCACAACAGGGCUGAGAUAAGGAUCCAGUUUUCCAUCUCCUUAGGCCAGGGGCCCUCUAUUUUCUCCUCUGUCUAGUCUCACGGAAGCAUCAGGAAAGAACGAUUGAGUUCAAGUCUCAACUUGGUAGCAAGCUAAUGAUGUGCUUGCUGUUGAAGUGCCUUUCUGUAUGACGCAGGGAUGUGGCUCGUCUAUGUGCAGUUGAGUUACAGAAAACCAAGGAUCAGGGAUCCCUUGGACGCAUGAGUCCUGAUGACCAAAAAGCUCACCAGAGUCCACUUUGCCUGGUUUCUUCUUCCUACUUCUUAUAUUUUCUCCAGGUCAAGUCUGCGGGUCUUGGUGCCUGAGAACCAGUAGGAGGUGCGGCCAUACCCUUACCAGUCUUAUCUCAAGUACCGAGAGCUUCAUUCUAACCGCCCUAAUUGAAGUCUUUCCUUGGUUGGUGUUUCCAUUGGUUUGGAAGUUCAGAAAUGUUCUCCAAUGUAGAGCGUGAAGAAACAUGUCUUCUGAUGUUGGUGGGCAUGCACAAUGGCGUGGUCAAAUGGAGGGUUUUUAGCAGGGUUAAAUCUCUGCUUCACUGUUGAUCAGGUAAGCCUACUUCUCUAGGUAUUUAGCCUGAAGACGAAGUUGCAAGCUGUGAAGAAGAGAGUCGUUCACUCCAUGCCACCUCACCUCCACCCCCUAAGGGCAGGUAGGGUCAGACAACAAAUAGCCCAGGACACAGACAACAGAAGAGAACGCAGUCCUGUCUGGUUAUGCUACAAAUUUUCCUUGUGAAAGCCCUGUGGUGACUCAAAUGUUCUUCAGGAGGGAGCAACAGGAGUGAACUGUUAGGUAGCUAUAUACUGGAGUAUCAUGUGCCUGCUGAAAGAGAUAAAAGGUAAGGAUCAGAAGGGAGAGUGUCUGCUGCACUUGAGUAAGGACUGCUGCUCGGAUCCCCAGCACCCAUAUCCAUGCCAGGUGGGCACAGUGGCCCAUCUGUGAUUCCGGCUCAGAAGGUGGAGACAUGGCAUGUGGCUCAGUAGACUAGCCAUGUACAUGAGCUCUGUAUUCACCUUAUUCUUUGAUGCAGGUUCUCUCAAUGGAGCCCAACGGUCUCCUAUAUGCUUGCUUAUACACAUAUACGUGCGCGUGCGCGCGCACACACACACACACACACACACACACAUCUGUAUACCUACCACAUGCAUGCCACAAGCAUAAACAUGAAGGCUGGUAAGGAUGGGUAUGUGCGAUAUGCUAACUUUUUGU